rnacentral:RNase_P_RNA from 1 species
UAGGGGGGCGAGAUAGCUGCGGUUGCCGACUUCGUCCGCUGAAGUUGAACGUAGGCGGGCACGGCAUCCGAGGAAAGUCCGGGCUCCGGUCGGGCCGGGACUGGGUAACACCCAGGUUCCGCAAGGAAACGGAAAGUGCCACAGAAAAUAAACCGCCAUCCUUUGUUAAAACUGCUGCGGGCUUCGCCCGCCGUAGCUUUAGCGAAGGCGGGUAAGGGUGCAAAGGUGAGGUAAGAGCUCACCGGCGAUAAUCGUAAGGUUGUCGUCUGGCAAACACCUCUCUGGAGCAAGGCCAUGCAGGGGGAUGGACGCCCGCUCCGCAAAUACCCCGGGUAGGCUGCUUGAGCCCUGCCGUAAGGCAGGGUCAAGAGAAAUGGCUAUUUAAACAGAACCCGGCUUAUCGCCCCCCCCAAUAA